UACGAAGGGGGCUAGCGUUGCUCGGAAUCACUGGGCGUAAAGCGCACGUAGGUGGGUCGUUAAGUCGGUGGUGAAAUCCUGGAGCUCAACUCCAGAACUGCCUUCGAUACUGGGAGUCUCGAGUCCGGGAGAGGUGAGUCGGAACUAGCGAGUGUAGAGGUGAAAUUCGUAGAUAUUCGCAAGAACACCAGUGGCGAAGGCGGCUCACUGGCCCGGUACUGACGCUGAGGUGGCGAAAG
rnacentral:rRNA from 1 species